UGGGGAAUAUUGCACAAUGGGCGCAAGCCUGAUGCAGCCAUGCCGCGUGUAUGAAGAAGGCCUUCGGGUUGUAAAGUACUUUCAGCGAGGAGGAAGGCGGUAAGGUUAAUAACCUUAUCGAUUGACGUUACUCGCAGAAGAAGCACCGGCUAACUCCGUGCCAGCAGCCGCGGUACUACGGAGGGUGCAAGCGUUAAUCGGAAUUACUGGGCGUAAAGCGCACGCAGGCGGUCUGUCAAGUCGGAUGUGAAAUCCCCGGGCUCAACCUGGGAACUGCAUUCGAAACUGGCAGGCUAGAGUCUUGUAGAGGGGGGUAGAAUUCCAGGUGUAGCGGUGAAAUGCGUAGAGAUCUGGAGGAAUACCGGUGGCGAAGGCGGCCCCCUGGACAAAGACUGACGCUCAGGUGCGAAAGCGUGGGGAGCAAACA
rnacentral:rRNA from 1 species